AUCACCUGCGUCUUAUUUUCUUUCAUCCACAGUCACUCCACAAGUGGGAUUUACUGAGUCGCUGCAUGGAUAAAAACUCCAGCGAGGGAGAAAGAGAGAUAGAGAGAGAGAGGCCAUUACCGUGGCAGCGUGUGAGGUGCUUUUGAAUGAUCUAUUAGAUGGUGUGAACUCUCACUAUGAUGUGAGUUUUAAUGAGACAGUCUUUGAGUCAGGGUCUUCGGGCCUUUCAGCGGAGAUCUAAAAGGAUAGACACAGAAAGACAGAGAAGUUCAAGUUCAAUAUGCAAAUAUAAUUCAAGAGGAUUAAAGUUGAACUUCUGAAUCGUAAAACAGAGAACCUUUCGAUAUCCAAAGAAGACUGUCAGCCGAUAGUCGAGCACUUCCGUGUUUGCCUUAGGAUUUUCUCAUCUUAAAUUCAGAUCUGACAAUAUUUUUAUUUCAUACCGCAGUCCCUGUCUCCAGCUGGCAGAGGUGAAGUAUAAAAUAAAGGCUGCACAUAAUCAUAUUUCACUUUAUCUUCAAAGUGUCCUGAGAGCCCAGAUGGAGAAGAUCUUAUAUUUUGAUUGAAGUCUACUCAUCUCGGCCCAUCUGUUUAAAUCCGAGCAUCGACCUCCAGCAUGUGUUGCCUUAUGACAUAUAAGAAACGAAACACAUCAGACACAUCGUGGAUAGCUCGUGUGCAGGUUGUUUGUGGAUCAGGAACUUGGAAGUCAUCUCCGUGCACGCGUUCGGAUGGAAGCCCGUGGAGUCAUCUGCAGUGAUAACGUAGCCAUCUCACCCUCUCCCACUACCCAGCUGUCUAACCAACAGCAUGAGGCCAGAAUGGUUUGACUAUUUUUUGCGCUGCACUACAUGAGACUACAAAUGCACAGUAUGUGAAAAUCCAUUCGAGACCACCAAUGUAAUGCUGACCACUAUUUUAUGCAACUUCUGACAAACAGGUAGACCUGCCGCUAGUAAAGUUUUGUUUAUAUGCACCCAAAUGUUAUUACUGUAGUUUUUAUGCACAUUAAAUAACGUUCAAGAA